rnacentral:rRNA from 1 species
GACGAACGCUGGCGGCGUGCCUAAUACAUGCAAGUCGAACGCUUCUUUUCCACCGGAGCUUGCUCCACCGGAAAAGAGGAGUGGCGAACGGGUGAGUAACACGUGGGUAACCUGCCCAUCAGAAGGGGAUAACACUUGGAAACAGGUGCUAAUACCGUAUAACAAUCGAAACCGCAUGGUUUGAUUUGAAAGGCGCUUUCGGGUGUCGCUGAUGGAUGGACCCGCGGUGCAUUAGCUAGUUGGUGAGGUAACGGCUCACCAAGGCGACGAUGCAUAGCCGACCUGAGAGGGUGAUCGGCCACAUUGGGACUGAGACACGGCCCAA